rnacentral:rRNA from 1 species
AGAGUUUGAUCCUGGCUCAGGAUGAACGCUGGCGGCGUGCUUAACACAUGCAAGUCGAACGAAGCACCUUGAUUUGAUUCUUCGGAUGAAGAUCCUGGUGACUGAGUGGCGGACGGGUGAGUAACGCGUGGGUAACCUGCCUCAUACAGGGGGAUAACAGUUAGAAAUGACUGCUAAUACCGCAUAAGACCACAGCACCGCAUGGUGCAGGGGUAAAAACUCCGGUGGUAUGAGAUGGACCCGCGUCUGAUUAGGUAGUUGGUGGGGUAACGGCCUACCAAGCCGACGAUCAGUAGCCGACCUGAGAGGGUGACCGGCCACAUUGGGACUGAGACACGGCCCAAACUCCUACGGGAGGCAGCAGUGGGGAAUAUUGCACAAUGGGGGAAACCCUGAUGCAGCGACGCCGCGUGAGCGAUGAAGUAUUUCGGUAUGUAAAGCUCUAUCAGCAGGGAAGAAAAUGACGGUACCUGACUAAGAAGCACCGGCUAAAUACGUGCCAGCAGCCGCGGU